rnacentral:lncRNA from 1 species
GAAUAUUUAAUAUUAGGAUUUUAGGAUUUUAGGUCUCACUAGCAUGACCCAUUCAUGUCUCCUAAAAUCAUUAUCCUAAUCUUUGAGGUUCAUCAUAAUCUUAGUCAUACAACUCAUGUAAUAAUAUUUAUUAUUUGAGGUAUUGAUUCAUCAUCAUCUGCCCAUAAGGGGGAUGAAUCGUGCAUCGAUCAAUGGAUUGAUCACUAUCU